GAACUGGAAUAACCGAGCGGGUGGAGUCCGGCCCCGCGGUCCGCCGAGAGCGGGUGCCAGCGCGAGCACAGCUACUAGAGCAGGACCUCAACAUUCUAAAACCUUUAUUUAGAUCAAGUAAUAUUACUAUUAGUGGAUUAAGCCUUAACGCCCAGCUGUUCAAGUGUAAGAGAGUGGAAUAAGAGGAAAGGGGAACUAUUCCAGUUACAGAUGUUAUUUCCAUGCAUUUGGACAUAGGUGAAAAAGAAAUUGCAAAGUUGGCAGUGCUUCUUAUCCUUUGUACAUCUAAAGGUUGGGCUCGGCAGUGUAACCACUAAGCAAAGCCUGGCACAGCUGUUCAUUCUUUCUCAUCGCCUUUUAUCUAUGCAGUGCUUUCCCGUUAAUGUGAGUCCUUGAAAUUCUGAAAGCCAAGUGCUUCAUUUCCCAUCAUUCCACACCUAAGCCAAGUUUCUAAAUUGGCUUUGAUGUGUAUUUUAAAUGGCUUGGCAUCCUACUGUCAUCAUUCCCUGGAUCAGUCCCACUCUGUGAAACUGUGAUAUGAUUAUCACUGUCCCAAGUGAAGAGACCAGCUGCAUAUGGAACCAUGAUGAUGUCCUUCUGCAACUUUGGGUUGUUCAUGGAUUACAGUGAUGACUGCUGGGGAGUACAAUGUGAAUGGGGAAGAGAGCAGCAGACCUUCUGAUAGCAUGGAAAUUAUACAACAUUUGAAGGUUCCUGUUUUGGGCAGCAGCCCUGAGAGACUGUGGCUUUUCAGAACUCAUUCCAGAGCUAUGCUAUGGUGUUGAUUGUGUGUCCUUACAAGCCUCUUCUCCCUGUCAUCAUCAUUUCCAGCUCUUCAUUUCAGCUCAAAAUAGAGCUGCUCUGGUACUGCGGUCAUCUUCCCCUUGAACAUGCUUAUCAUUACUACAGGUCCUAAAAGAGAUAAUAAAACACAAUGGAAAAUU